rnacentral:rRNA from 1 species
GACGAACGCUGGCGGCGUGCUUAACACAUGCAAGUCGAACGGUGAACCAGAGCUUGCUCUGGGGAUCAGUGGCGAACGGGUGAGUAACACGUGGGCAACCUGCCCAGACUCUGGGAUAACCUCGGGAAACCGAUGCUAAUACCGGAUACGACCACUUCGGACAUCCGACGGUGGUGGAAAGUUUUUCGGUCUGGGAUGGGCCCGCGGCCUAUCAGCUAGUUGGUGGGGUAAUGGCCUACCAAGGCGACGACGGGUAGCCGGCCUGAGAGGGCGACCGGCCACACUGGAACUGAGACACGGUCCAGACUCCUACGGGAGGCAGCAGUGGGGAAUAUUGCACAAUGGGCGAAAGCCUGAUGCAGCGACGCCGCGUGAGGGGACGACGGGCCUUCGGGUUGUAACCGUCUUCUAGCAGGGACGAAGCGAAAGUGACUGUACCUGCAG